rnacentral:rRNA from 1 species
GAUGAACGCUGGCGGCGUGCCUAAUACAUGCAAGUCGAGCGAACGGACGAGAAGCUUGCUUCUCUGAUGUUAGCGGCGGACGGGUGAGUAACACGUGGAUAACCUACCUAUAAGACUGGGAUAACUUCGGGAAACCGGAGCUAAUACCGGAUAAUAUUUUGAACCGCAUGGUUCAAAAGUGAAAGACGGUCUUGCUGUCACUUAUAGAUGGAUCCGCGCUGCAUUAGCUAGUUGGUAAGGUAACGGCUUACCAAGGCAACGAUGCAUAGCCGACCUGAGAGGGUGAUCGGCCACACUGGAACUGAGACACGGUCCAGACUCCUACGGGAGGCAGCAGUAGGGAAUCUGCAGCAAUGGGCGAAAGCCUGACGGAGCAACGCCGCGUGAGUGAUGAAGGUCUUCGGAUCGUAAAACUCUGUUAUUAGGGAAGAACAUAUGUGUAAGUAACUGUGCACAUCUUGACGGUACCUAAUCAGAAAGCCACGGCUAACUACGUG